UAUGUGAGAUGGCUGAAUUAUAAGCGGUAAAUUGUAAAUUUAUUUAUGGGGUUCCCUCUCGUAA
rnacentral:tRNA from 1 species